rnacentral:rRNA from 1 species
GCUCAGGACGAACGCAGGCGGCGUGCCUAAUACAUGCAAGUCGAGCGGAUUUAUCCUUCGGGAUAAGUAAGCGGCGGACGGGUGAGUAACACGUAGGUAACCUGCCUAUAAGAUCGGGAUAACUAUCGGAAACGAUAGCUAAGACCGGAUAACUGGUUUUCUCGCAUGAGAGAAUUAUGAAACACGGAGCAAUCUGUGGCUUAUAGAUGGGCCUGCGGCGCAUUAGCUAGUUGGUAGGGUAACGGCCUACCAAGGCGACGAUGCGUAGCCGACCUGAGAGGGUGAACGGCCACACUGGGACUGAGACACGGCCCAGACUCCUACGGGAGGCAGCAGUAGGGAAUCUUCCGCAAUGGACGCAAGUCUGACGGAGCAACGCCGCGUGAGUGAUGAAGGUUUUCGGAUCGUAAAGCUCUGUUGCCCUAGACGAACAGCAAGGAGAGUAACUGCUCUUUGUGUGACGGUAUAGGAGAAGAAAGCCCCGGCU